rnacentral:rRNA from 1 species
UGGGGAAUAUUGCACAAUGGAGGGAACUCUGAUGCAGCGACGCCGCGUGAACGAAGAAGGCUUUCGAGUCGUAAAGUUCUUUUAUAUGGGAAGAUAAUGACGGUACCAUAAGAAAAAGCACCGGCUAACUACGUGCCAGCAGCCGCGGUAAUACGUAGGGGGCUAGCGUUGUCCGGAAUCACUGGGCGUAAAGGGUUCGCAGGCGGAAAUGCAAGUCAGGUGUAAAAGGCAGUAGCUUAACUACUGUAAGCAUUUGAAACUGCAUAUCUUGAGAAGAGUAGAGGUAAGUGGAAUUUUUAGUGUAACGGUGAAAUGCGUAGAUAUUAAAAAGAAUACCGGUGGCGAAGGCGACUUACUGGGCUCAUUCUGACGCUGAGGAACGAAAGCGUGGGUAGCAAACAGG